GCGAUAGGAAUACCAUCAAAGGGUUGCAACACUUGAAAGGAAGGUGUAUGCUCUUACAAAGGAAAGGGACACGCUUCGGCGGGAGCAGAAUAAGAAAAGUGAUGCAGCUGCUCUUCUGAAGGAAAAGGAUGAAAUAAUUAAUCAAGUUAUGGCUGAAGGUGAAGAGCUUUCAAAAAAGCAGGCUGCUCAAGAAGGACAGAUUAGGAAAUUAAGGGCUCAGAUCAGAGAGUUUGAAGAAGAGAAGAAAGGGUUGAUUACUAAACUUCAGUUAUGAUUUCAGAUCUGUAGAUAACCUGUUGUUGCUGAUAUUGCUACCCGGGAGGAGAACAGAACAAGUUGGAAAAUGUGCAAGAAGGGAGAGCUAACUCAUACAACGAAGAACAAAUUGAUGAAGUUAAGAUCAAAUUAGUAGAAUUUGUGAGCUCUCCAUUAUUUAUAAUUAUAGGUAGGAAGUAUGUAUGUAAUAGAGCAAAGAUUGGUUGACUAUGUAAUAACAAUUGAAUUGUCAAGUUUUAUGAAAGAAAUAAUUUUUGCUUCUU